AUUCCUAGUUAUAAAGUCAGAAUUCUGAGUUAUAAAGUCACAAUUCUGAGUUCAGUUGUGGCGGAGACGCAAUAAAACAGACGAGGCCGACGUGGCACGUUUUAUAAACCAACAGCUACAGACAUCGGGACGACAACAUGGAUAUCGUUGGAUGCACCAGAAAUGUUGGCUGUCUGGCAUUAUUACAGAGAAGCUGUCCGUCAUUUGAUGCGGCUGUUAGAUGGACAGGGAGUUGACCGGCGCGCUCACGGUCGUCUGCGGCGACGCAUGUAUAACAGCCGCGGACCAAACUAUGUUUGGCAUAUUGACGGAUACGACAAGUUGAAACCUUACGGAAUAUGCAUAAACGGAUGCAUUGAUGGGUUUUCCAGAAAAAUGAUCUGGCUUGAAGCAUACAAAACGAACAAUGACCCACGAGUAAUUGCGGGUUAUUUCAUACAAGCUGUUGCUGAGAAUAACGGAUUUCCACAUAGAAUUCGCAUUGACCAUGGAACUGAAAAUACGCAUUUAGCAGAUAUGCAGACAUUCUUCAGAGGCACUGCUUGUGCCGAAUCUGUUACUCUUGGUCCAAGCACGGGGAACCAGAGAAUUGAACGAUGGUGGUCCACUUUGAGAAGUCAGUGCAUACAAUUUUGGAUGGAUCAUUUUGAACAGCUAAAAGAAGAUGGGCACUUUGUUGAUAGUUUCAUUGAUAAAUCUCUCAUCCAGUUUUGUUUUCAGCAUUCUAUACAGGUAACAUUUGGUUUACUGUAGUUUAUUUAAUCAUAAAAACAAUAUUGCCGUUAAAGAUUAACUUAAUAUUUACAUAGCCUACAAUAUGCAGUUUACAGUGUGUUUAUUAAUUUAAUUUUGUUGCUUUUUUUUUUAUAAAGGAAAAGCUUGAUGAAAUAGUCAGUGCCUGGAAUUGCCACAGGAUACGGCCAACUCACAAUCCACGUGCUCCCAGUGGUCGACCUUCAAUAAUGUUUGCUGUUCCCAGCUUAUAUGGAGUGCAGAAUUUCUUGCAUCCAAUUGAACAAACAAAGCUGAGUAUUUGCAAAGAGGAGUGUUUAGUUAAAGACUACCCUUGUGAUGAGGAUGUCUUUCAACUGUGCGUAGAACUGAUGGAUGAACAUAACCUUGCAUUGUCAGAUGAUGUUUAUGAAAUUACAGACCUUUACCUUAAGCUUCCUGAACUAAUCCUUGAAGGACUGGACUUGGGUGACUAGAUGCACCAUUGAGAUCUUAUCUGCAACUUUCACUAGAAGUCUCAAAAGAACUCUUUGAGGUUAAAAUCUCUGCAAUUCCCACUUUACUUUCACUGUGCUGUGUCUGUCUAUCAAGAUAACAGGGUUAUGGGAUUAAUGUACCUUUACUCUACAUACUAUAAUGGAACAACUGUUACAUCCCAUCAUUUUCAUACACGCUUCAGGAUCCCUUGUCUGUCAGACACAGUGCUCAAGAAGGAAUGAAUAAUUUGUUCCAGACCAUCCCAUCCUUAUGUGCAAAAGAAGGCCAGCAAACUUAGGUAGAUGAGAUAAGAAUAAAAGUGCAUAAAGAUGCACUUCACACAAAAAAAAAAAAAACUUUUUUUAUGACUACUUUUUUAAAUGACAUCUUUCCCAACUACAGCAAUGCACAUUUUUGCAUGAUUUUGAACACUUUUGUGAUGCUCUAUUAAUACUUUUAGACCUAACCUGAAUGCAAUAGAAACAGGAAGUGAGUUUUAGAAGUCUUUUGUUACUCAAAAGUAAAAUAAUUUCGUUUAAACUGUAAAGCAAUAAUACUGAAACUUUUCAAAAUGUAUAGAAUUUUCAUUUGUUUCACCUUAGGAAUAUAAAGGGGAGGUAUAUUUAAAAUAUAAACUAAAGGGUUUAAAUGGUAAACUGUCUGUAUUUUGUGUUAUACCUGAAAUAAAGAACUGAAUUUGUAAUGGUAUUUUUAUUAUUAAAUAUUCAACUUUGUAGUAGUACAUUUUUGCUUCAAACAAAUGCUCGAACAGUAUUCCCAAUGUUUUUCCUAUACAUGCUUAACGCACCUGUAAUCAUUUUAACAUGGUACACCGGCUGUCAGUUUUUGUGCACCACUACAGAGCUUUAAGUGAAAUUGAUUUUAAAAGUUCAAUUUUUUUUUGACUUUGAUGUGCAAUUUAUUUGUUGGCCAAUAAAAAAUGCAAUGCUGAAAUGCAAACAAUUU